rnacentral:tRNA from 1 species
GGGUGGUUAGCUCAGUUGGUCAGCCGCGUUACGUUGACAUCGUAAAGGUCGUUGGUUCGAGUCCAAUACCACCCACCA